rnacentral:lncRNA from 1 species
ACUAAAUAUAUAAAGUCUUAAGUUUCCAAAAAUAUCCAAAAUAUAAUAAAAACCUCUAAAUCCUUAUAUAUCCUUAUAAGGAAAUAUUUCCGAACUUCAACAACUCAUAUCUUCCAAUCGGACUAUUCAAACAUACUACAAUUUUACAUAAAGUACUGAUGUACUUCUAAAAACUACCACAACAAAUUUCAAUUGUAAAUUCAUUGCGGUGUCGUAUUAU